CGGAAUUAUUGGGCGUAAAGAGCUCGUAGGCGGUUUGUCGCGUCUGCCGUGAAAGUCCGGGGCUUAACCCCGGAUCUGCGGUGGGUACGGGCAGACUAGAGUGCAGUAGGGGAGACUGGAAUUCCUGGUGUAGCGGUGAAAUGCGCAGAUAUCAGGAGGAACACCGAUGGCGAAGGCAGGUCUCUGGGCUGUAACUGACGCUGAGGAGCGAAAGCAUGGGGAGCGAACAGGAUUAGAUACCCUGGUAGUCCAUGCCGUAAACGUUGGGCACUAGGUGUGGGGGACAUUCCACGUUUUCCGCGCCGUAGCUAACGCAUUAAGUGCCCCGCCUGGGGAGUACGGCCGCAAGGCUAAAACUCAAAGGAAUAGACGGGGGCCCGCACAAGCGGCGGAGCAUGCGGAUUAAUUCGAUGCAACGCGAAGAACCUUACCAAGGCUUGACAUGAACCGGAAUGAUGCAGAGAUGUGUCAGCCACUUGUGGCCGGUUUACAGGUGGUGCAUGGUUGUCGUCAGCUCGUGUCGUGAGAUGUUGGGUUAAGUCCCGCAACGAGCGCAACCCUCGUUCCAUGUUGCCAGCGGGUUAUGCCGGGGACUCAUGGGAGACUGCCGGGGUCAACUCGGAGGAAGGUGGGGACGACGUCAAAUCAUCAUGCCCCUUAUGUCUUGGGCUUCACGCAUGCUACAAUGGCCGGUACAAAGGGUUGCGAUACUGUGAGGUGGAGCUAAUCCCAAAAAGCCGGUCUCAGUUCGGAUUGAGGUCUGCAACUCGACCUCAUGAAGUUGGAGUCGCUAG
rnacentral:rRNA from 1 species